ACACUGGCAGAAUGAUAUUUGUAAUCCAUUGGCUGAUUUUCCCACUCUGGCAGCUCCUAUUGCUCUGCCCCACCCCCGUCCCCCAAACCCAUUCAGUCAUCGCUUGUAUCAGGGGACAAAAGAGUUUCACCAGAGAACAGAAAAAAGAUUUUUGGAUGUCAAAAGUCAAACCUUUUUGUAGGUUUAGCAUAGAAACUGUAAGCCUCUGCUUUAGGCCCAGGGGGAACAAAUUCACAGAAGAUAAUGAGUCUCAGACUCUUCCUUGCUUAUGAGCAAGAAGUCCCUGGAUCUAAGAGAGAAAGAGAGAGGAAGAGAGGAAAGGAGAGAGAGAAACAUUGAUGUGAGAAACAUUGAUGUGAGAGAGAAACAUUAAUGGGUUGCCUUCUGUAUGCACCUGGACCUGGGAUCACACAUGAUGGACCAGGGCUUGAACCCACAACCCAGUAAAGCUGGCAGCAGGAGUUCCUGGGGUUUGUACCUGGUGCAGGAGGUGACUGGCUCCUUCUGACCCCAGCAUUCGGACGGUGAAGAGAGCGAGACCAAGGCCGAGGCCGAGAGAGAGGCUACGGAGCUGUGCUUCUUCACGCGUGGAUGGCUGGACAGAUCAUGAACUGGAGCCAUGUGGAGAGGAGACAAGGUUGGAACUCACUCCGGAUCCUCUUCUGGGUUUCUUCCAGAUGACCCCCAAUCACCCAUCUGGUCUCAGUCAUCAGAACUCAUUGUCCAGGUCUAAGAAGAGAAACAGACUCUACCUCAUUAGGGGAAAGUAGCAAGUUCUGCAGGAAUGUGUGGAACUGGAAAUAUGAACACAGCCAUUUUGGGAAAAUAUAACCUGGCACAGUAAGGCAUCUUGCUUUCGAAGUGCACCGCAUGCCUGCAGAGCAAAUACAGAAAUUUGGCUAGAUCCUCUCAUCUGCACAGCUGAAUAUUUUUCAUUACUAAAAAGAAACUGCAAAAAAAAAGAAACUUAAGCUACCAUGGACAAGCCUAUUGCUUUUGUCUGAGUCUGGCUAUCUCAUGAAUUUCUGGAGGUGGAGAGCUGAAACGAAAGGCCUAUGCACUAAACUGCCUUCCACACGAACAGUAAAUUUUCACCUGGAGUCUACAAACUGCAAGAAUCGCCAAGAACCUGUUAUUUCUAUGUGCCUCUGUUUUUUUUUUAACUAAUUUUAGCACAUGGCAAACACCACAUUCUAGGUUAUUGUCUUCCAUUUCAGUGAGGUGAGGAAGGUGUGGGCUGAGAGGAUCUGGCAGCCUCUGCUCCUGCCGCCUGCUACCCUGAGGUGCUGGAAGAAUUACAGUUAGGCUGUCCCCCUUGCCUCGGACUGAGAUAUUUAUUGGCUCUUAAAGAUUAAUCCAAGUGCAACCUCUAAACCAGUAUAUGGUUUCACUCCUUUGUACUCCGGGGAGAGAGAAUGAUGAGAACUGUGAGAAGUGAAACUCCACAGAAUGUAAUCACUCCUCACCCCACCCCUGCAAACUUUUUAAGAAAUGGAAUUUAUCCUUUCUUUCCAAAUCAGGUCUCUGUUUUUAACCAGUUUUUCUCAGUGCUCUGUCAUGUGAAAAUACAUGAUAAAUGGAAACUAACAAGAUUACUUUAUCAACUACUAUUUCAUUCACUCAUUAUUAUGUUACGGAAGAUAUUGAAUAAGAUAUUAUACCUGCCCCCAAGAAACUUGCAAUCUCCUCUAGCUAUUGUAAGAAUGGAGCAUGGAGAAAAUGUCUUGCAUUUAAAAUAGGGAGUUUAAAGCAACAGGAAGAACAUACCAGAAAAAUCAGUGCUAAUAUUUCCCUAUUUUCUUAAUGAGAAAAAUCAACCUUAGAGAAAAAUCAACCUUAGAGAUGUUAAAUGACUUAGCUUGUUCAGAUAGAGAGUGGUGAAGUCAGAGCUGAAACUUCGAUUCUGGUUCCAAAGGUUGUGUAUUCUCCAUGUGGUUUCCAGACCUGACUGGUGGAAGUUUCUAGUCCCAUCUACUUAGCAAAUUGACAUCUUUUUAUGUGCCCCAGGCAUAUAGAAAUGCUAGAUAAUAUAUAACAAAACUAUUUUAUAGACAUAGUGAAGGGAGGAACAAAAUUCCCACAUGCCAAAAACUAAAGAACCCCUCUGCCCCUUGAGCAAUGUGGUUCAUGCAUGAGCUGAUGUCAAACAAAGCUGAGGGUAUCAGACCUGGCUAUAGGACCCAACAGCUGGGGGCUGGAGUUUUUAAGACAGAUCUAGAAUAAAAGACUUCUCCUUGGGGCUGUUAAAGGUGAAGAGUUGAAACAAAUUCAUUCAUAAAGCUUGAAGCAAGGAAGAGCUGCUCCCUCCAUAUAAGGGGGACUAUAAAACAUUACUUACUACAAACCACUGGUGAAAUUCUCACCAAAUAGGUAUCUGGAUAGGAAACAUCUCCACGAUAAAUGGAAACUUAAAAAUAUGUAUCAUGCAUAGAUAUAGAAUCCAAAUUUUAGAUUAUUUUCACAGCAUAGGACUCCCAAAUACAGAUGUUAAUAUAUUUAGAUACUGUAAAUAUUUCAGACCAGUGAAAUCCUGGAGUUCCCGGAGGAAUCAAAAGUGAGAAUCGUUUGAAGGGUUACUAGCCCAUCUUAAAGUACACAGGAAUUCCACAGGGAAAAUGUAUCCUAGCUGAAAGUGUGCUCACAAUUUAAAAGUACAAGUCAAAGAAAUGGUCCACAAAGUGGGAGAGUCCACAGACACACAUGAGAGGAAUAGCACCCCAACGGCCUGAGAUAACAUAACAAUUGAAAGCUACUUCUACGUUAAGUAUAUUUACAAACAUUAAGGAGUUCAAGAGAGAAAUAAAAACUUCAUAAAGAGGUACCAGUCAAGAUGGAGACGUAGGUAAACAUGCCUCGUCUGCCUGCACAACUCUAGCAAAAAAUACAGCUAUACUACAAAAGAAAUGCCACCCAGAAUCAUCAGAAAAUUGAGCUGUGUAGAACCCUGACCACCAGGGAAUUAAAAAAGUACUAUUUAUUCAGACAGGUAAAAGGGGCAGAGGCAUGGAGACGUGAAACAGGUAGUACCACACAUACAUGUGUGGUGGAUAAAAAUCAGGGAGGGAUAUCUUGGGAGCAAGAUAGCCCCCACCAGACCACCCAGCCCUGGGUUCCAGUGCCAGGAGGACAAGUCCCUAUAAUUUUGGCUGUAAAAACCAGUGAGGGUUGGGACAGCUGAGGAAAUUAUGGGAUUCUCAGGAGUCUCUUAAAGGGCUUGCAAUGGAUUUAGGACUUAUGCUGACUCACUCUCUCUGGGCUCCAGCACUGGGGCAGCAGCUGGAAGGGCACCAGUGGCAUAAGGAGGGAAUCUGAAGUGUCUGGCAUCAGGGUGAGCCAGGGCACAGUUUCCUUCCAGACAAACUCCAGAGGCCAGGCAGUAACCAUUGACUCUUUUCUGAGCCAUACCCCACACAGAGACACAGAGCAGAAACACCAUAUCUAAUUCAGACGUCAACCUAAUUAACACGGGUUGCCCUACCCUGGCAAUUACCUAAGGCUCCACUCCAUCCAACUUAUGGGUGCACUUUUCUACAUUAGGCCACAAAACUAAGGGAGUCAAAGCAGCACUAUCUAACACAGAGAAACAAACACAGAAAUGCUGCCAAAAUGAGGAGACAUAGAAAUAUGGCCCAAAUAAAGGAACAAAACAAAACCCCAGGAAAAGAACUAAACAAAAUAGAGAUAAGCAAUCUUUCAGAUACAGAGCUCAAAACACUGCAUGCUCAAGGCACUCACUGGGUACUUCAACAGCAUAAAAAAGUCUUGGGCCAAAAUAAAAGUUAUACUAAAUAAAGAAAAAAUUAUAGGGAAUCAAUGGUAAAGUGGAUGAAGCCAGGAAUCAAAUCAAUGAUACGGAGGAAGAAAAAGAAUAUUCAAUUAGAAUAACAAGAAAAAAAUGAAAAAAAAUAAGGAUAGUAUAGGCAGCCUCUGGGACAACUUCAAACAUACUCAUAUUUUAAUCACAGAGGUGCCUAAAGGAGAAGAGAAAGAGUGAGAAAUUGAAAACUUAUUUGAAAAAAUAAUGAAAGAAAUCUUCCCUGUUUGAUGAAGGAAAAUAUACAUACAAGUCUAGGAAGCAGGAAGAGUCCCAAACAAGAUGGACAGAAAGAGCACCACACCAAGGUGCAUCAUAAUUCAAAUGCCGAAGGUUAAAGAUAAAGACAGAAUCUUAAAAGGAGCAAGGGAAAAGCAGAGAGCUACCUAAAAGGAUUUCCCAUAAGAUUGUCAGCUGAUUUCUCAAAAGAAUCUUUGCAGGCAAGAAGGAACUGUCGAGAAGUAUUGAAAAUGAUGGAAAGCAAGCACCUACAACCUAGAUUACUCUAUCCAGCAAAGCUGUCAUUUAGAAUUGAAGGGCAGAUAAAGUGCUUCCAACCGAGGUAAAGUUAAAGGAGUUCAUCAUCAUCAAGCCAUUAUUAUAUGAAGUGUUAAAGGGACUUAUUUAAGAAAAAUAAGAUCAAAAUGACAAUAAAUUCAUAACUAUCAACAAUUAAAUCUAAAAAACAAACUGAGCAAACAAGUAGAAUAGAAACAGAAUUGUAGAUAUGGAGAUUAUUUGGAGGGUUACUACAGUAGGGUGAGAAUAGGGGAAAGGUGCAGGGAUUAAGAAGUACAUAUUGGUAGUUUAAAAAAUGGUCAUGGGGAUGUAAAGUACAAUAUAGGAAAUGGAGUAGCCAAAGAACUUAUAUGCAUGACCAUAGGCAUGGAAUAAUG